UGAAUGUCUGUUCUAAUACCUACAGGUGUAAUAUUAACCUGUGGGCUUCGCUUUCAGACUAAAUUGAAUUCUCCAAACCUAUCCUAGUGUGAUUCUAUAUCUUGGGAAUUGCACUGGUAUCUUGUAGAUACAUUU